rnacentral:tmRNA from 2 species
GGGGGCGCUUGGUUUUGACAGCAUAGAUCUUUGAAAGUGUAAGCAUGUUCUGCGUUGCGUAAUUAGCAGGCUAAUCUGAAUACGCAAAACACAAAUGGCAAUACUCAGUAUGCCAUGGCUGCCUAAUCAGUGAUUAAGUAGUCAUUAGGGCCGCGUGAGCAGGUUUGAUCCGUUUCCAAGCUCCGCCGCCGACUCAAAACCAAAACGGGUUGCUAUCGCCAUAGGCUGUGCCGGCGGUCUAAGACUUAUACAGCUAAGGUAAUGAUCGGUCGCCCGGUUUUCCAGUCAUUACCCGACACCCCAAACCAGGAUAAGCAUGUAGAAGACUUUUGGGGAAUAUGUUUGGACACCGGUUCGAUUCCGGUCGCCUCCACUU